GCCAGUGUAGUUUAGUGGUUUGGGUGUUAGACUACGACCCUGGAGACCAGGGGUUCGAAUCCCCACUCAGCCA